AAAGUCCCCUUCGGGGGGCGAGUAGAGUGGCGCACGGGUGAGUAACACGUAGGUAAUCUACCUUUGGAUUGGGAAUAACCACCGGAAACGGUGGCUAAUACCGAAUAAUGCAGCGGCACCUAAUGGUGACAGUUGUUAAAGCGGGGGAUCGCAAGACCUCGCGUCUGAAGAGGAGCCUGCGGCAGAUUAGCUAGUUGGUAAGGUAACGGCUUACCAAGGCGAUGAUCUGUAGCCGGCCUGAGAGGGCGGUCGGCCACACUGACACUGACAUACGGGUCAGACUCCUACGGGAGGCAGCAGUCGGGAAUUUUGGGCAAUGGGCGAAAGCCUGACCCAGCAACGCCGCGUGAAGGAUGAAAUCCCUCGGGAUGUAAACUUCGCAAGAACGGGAAGAAUAAGUAAGAGUUAACAUCUCUUACGAUGACGGUACUGUUUGUAAGCUCCGGCUAACUCCGUGCCAGCAGCCGCGGUAAUACGGGGGGAGCAAGCGUUGUUCGGAUUUACUGGGCGUAAAGGGCGCGUAGGCGGCCACCGCAAGUCGACUGUGAAAUCUCCGGGCUUAACCCGGAAAGGUCAGCCGAUACUGCGGGGCUAGAGUGCAGAAGGGGCAACUGGAAUUCUCGGUGUAGCGGUGAAAUGCGUAGAUAUCGAGAGGAACACCUGCGGCGAAGGCGGGUUGCUGGGCUGACACUGACGCUGAUGUGCGAAAGCUAGGGGAGCGAACGGGAUUAGAUACCCCGGUAGUCCUAGCCUUAAACGAUGAAUGCUUGGUGUCUGGGGUUUUAUAGUCCCCGGGGUGCCGUCGCUAACGCUUUAAGCA
rnacentral:rRNA from 1 species